rnacentral:misc_RNA from 1 species
AUGAACGAUCAUCCUUGAUCUUCUUACCCUCAAACCAUUGUGGAACACAAGAUGUGCUUCGGCGCCAGUUGGCGCCGCCUUUAUGCUUUAACAAUGUCUUUUCUGUCUGAAGAAUUAAAUGUCA